GACGAACGCUGGCGGCGUGCUUAACACAUGCAAGUCGAGCGGUAAGGCUCCUUCGGGAGUACACGAGCGGCGAACGGGUGAGUAACACGUGAGCGAUCUGCCCUUCACACGGGGAUAACCCUCGGAAACGAGAGCUAAUACCCGAUACGACCACUUCAGGCAUCUGAUGGUGGUGGAAAGUUCCGGCGGUGAAGGAUGAGCUCGCGGCCUAUCAGCUUGUUGGUGGGGUAACGGCCCACCAAGGCAACGACGGGUAGCCGGCCUGAGAGGGUGACCGGCCACGCUGGGACUGAGACACUGCCCAGACUCCUACGGGAGGCAGCAGUGGGGAAUAUUGGACAAUGGGCGAAAGCCUGAUCCAGCAACGCCGCGUGAGGGAUGACGGCCUUCGGGUUGUAAACCUCUUUCAGCAGGGACGAAGCGCAAGUGACGGUACCUGCAGAAGAAGCACCGGCCAACUACGUGCCAGCCGCCGCCGUAA
rnacentral:rRNA from 1 species